rnacentral:rRNA from 1 species
GAUGAACGCUGGCGGCGUGCCUAAUACAUGCAAGUCGAGCGAACGGACGAGAAGCUUGCUUCUCUGAUGUUAGCGGCGGACGGGUGAGUAACACGUGGCUAACCUACCUAUAAGACUGGGAUAACUUCGGGAAACCGGAGCUAAUACCGGAUGAUAUUUUGAACCGCAUGGUUCAACAGUGAAAGACGGUCUUGCUGUCACUUAUAGAUGGAUCCGCGCUGCAUUAGCUAGUUGGUAAGGUAACGGCUUACCAAGGCAACGAUGCAUAGCCGACCUGAGAGGGUGAUCAGCCACACUGGAACUGAGACACGGUCCAGACUCCUACGGGAGGCAGCAGUAGGGAAUCUUCCGCAAUGGGCGAAAGCCUGACGGAGCAACGCCGCGUGAGUGAUGAAGGUCUUCGGAUCGUAAAACUCUGUUAUUAGGGAAGAACAUAUGUGUAAGUAACUGUGCACAUCUUGACGGUACCUAAUCAGAAAGCCACGGCUAACUACGUG